rnacentral:rRNA from 1 species
AGGGUGUAAACGCUGCAGACUUGGUGUUGGAAGUCCUUUGGGGGCAUUCAGUGCCGGAGAGAAGUUGUUAAGUCUGCUACUUGGGGAGUACGUCCGCAAGGAUGAAACUUAAAGGAAUUGGCGGGGGAGCACCGCAACGGGGGGAGCGUGCGGUUUAAUUGGACUCAACGCCGGGAAGCUCACCGGAUAAGACAGCGGAAUGAUUGCCAGGCUGAAGACUCUGCAUGACUAGCUGAGAGGAGGUGCAUGGCGUAGACGUCU